GAUUUGAGGUUUUUCCUUGGCCUUUAUAUGGUGAAUAUUUGACAUCGUGCUUGUAAUUAUCUAUUUCAUUAUCGAGCUUUCUUUCAUUAUUAUCGAUAGUACUCUUGCUGGGAGACAAGGACGUUUCGUGGUUCUUUGAGGGACUGUUACAGAUGUUGAUAAGUUGUUUCAAGUAACGAGUUUGGGUAUCGCUUUCUUUUUCUUCAUUUAAAAAUUCCCUGUGGUUAAUUUUUGGAGGUGAAAUAAGCUGAUUAUCCUUUGAAGGGUUUGAGUGAGUAGAAAAGUCAGCUACUAGCGAUUUUAAGGGCGACAGAGGUUUCAAUGCUGAAGAAAAGACAUCACUGGAUAUAAGAUUAUUUUGAAAUGUUGAUUUUUCUUUCUUUGUCGAAAAAGGAGCAGCAGGGAAAAUUAAAAGAGGUUCAACAGCUGAAAGAGAAAGUUUGUAAGCCAUUAUCAGCAGUGUUAAAUGUAUAUCAAGUAUGAAAUGUACAAAAUCCAAGAAAUAUGAAAUAAAAAAAAAGAAACAGUUAGGCCUUUAAUAAAACGAAGGUUAGAGUACCGCGCAUGGAAUUUGAAC